UCUGUAUCUAGUUAUUCUUUGCUGUCUGUGUAUCUAGUUAUUCUUUGCUGUCUGUGUAUCUAGUUAUUCUUUGCUGUCUUUGUAUCUAGUUAUUCUUUGCUGUCUGUGUAUCUAGUUAUUCUUUGCUGUUUGUGUAUCUAGUUAUUCUUUGCUGUCUGUGUAUCUAGUUAUUCUUUGCUCUCUGUGUAUCUAAUUAUUCUUUGCUGUCUGUGUAUCUAGUUAUUCUUUGCUGUCUGUGUAUCUAGUUAUUCUUUGCUGUCUGUGUAUCUAGUUAUUUUUUGCUGUCUGUGUAUCUAGUUAUUUUUUGCUGUCUGUGUGUAUCUAGUUAUUCUUUGCUGUUUG